AACGCUAGCUACAGGCUUAACACAUGCAAGUCGAGGGGCAGCACAGUGUAGCAAUACACGGGUGGCGACCGGCGCACGGGUGAGUAACACGUAUCCAACCUGUCCCAUACUCGGGGAUAGCCUUUCGAAAGAAAGAUUAAUACCCGAUGGCAUCAAGUUCCGGCAUCGGGACCUGAUUAAAGAGAUUCGGUAUGGGGUGGGGAUGCGUUCCAUUAGCUUGUUGGCGGGGUAACGGCCCACCAAGGCAACGAUGGAUAGGGGUUCUGAGAGGAAGGUCCCCCACAUUGGAACUGAGACACGGUCCAAACUCCUACGGGAGGCAGCAGUGAGGAAUAUUGGUCAAUGGACGAGAGUCUGAACCAGCCAAGUAGCGUGAAGGAUGACUGCCCUAUGGGUUGUAAACUUCUUUUAUAAGGGAAUAAAGUGCUCUACGUGUAGGGUUUUGUAUGUACCUUAUGAAUAAGGAUCGGCUAACUCCGUGCCAGCAGCCGCGGUAAUACGGAGGAUCCGAGCGUUAUCCGGAUUUAUUGGGUUUAAAGGGAGCGUAGGCGGCGGGUUAAGUCAGUUGUGAAAGUUUGCGGCUCAACCGUAAAAUUGCAGUUGAUACUGGCUCGCUUGAGUGCGGCAGAGGCAGGCGGAAUUUGUGGUGUAGCGGUGAAAUGCUUAGAUAUCACGAAGAACUCCGAUUG
rnacentral:rRNA from 1 species